rnacentral:rRNA from 1 species
GCUUUUUUGAUUUCUUCGGAAUGAUUAAAAGUGGAUUAGUGGCGGACGGGUGAGUAACGCGUGAGUAACCUGCCUUAGAGAAGGGGAUAGCCUUUGGAAACGAAGAAUAAUACCCUAUGAAACCAUAACCUCGCAUGAGGCCUUGGUCAAAGAUUUAUCGCUCUAAGAUGGACUUGCGUCUGAUUAGUUAGUUGGUGGGGUAACGGCCUACCAAGACAGCGAUCAGUAGCCGGCUUGAGAGAGUGUACGGCCACAUUGGGACUGAGACACGGCCCAGACUCCUACGGGAGGCAGCAGUGGGGAAUUUUGCACAAUGGGGGAAACCCUGAUGCAGCGACGCCGCGUGAUUUAGAAGGCCUUCGGGUUGUAAAAAUCUUUUCUAUGGGAAGAAAAUGACAGUACCAUAGGAAUAAGGACCGGCUAAUUACGUGCCAGCAGCCGCGGUAAUACGUAAGGUCCGAGCGUUGUCCGGAAUCAUUGGGCGUAAAGGGUACGUAGGCGGGUAAGCAAGUUAGAAGUGAAAUCCUAUAGCUCAACUAUAGUAAGCUUUUAAAACUGCUCAUCUUGAGGUAUGGAAGGGAAAGUGGAAUUCCUAGUGUAGCGGUGAAAUGCGCAGAUAUUAGGAGGAAUACCGGUGGCGAAGGCGACUUUCUGGCCAUAACCUGACGCUGAGGUACGAAAGCGUGGGUAGCAAACAGGAUUAGAUACCCUGGUAGUCCACGCCGUAAACGAUGAGUGUUAGGUGUCUGGAGUAAAUCUGGGUGCCGCAGCUAACGCAUAAACACUCCGCCUGGGGAGUACGCGCGCAAGC